GAUGAAGAACGCAGCGAAAUGCGAUAAGUAGUGUGAAUUGCAGAAUUCCGUGAAUCAUCGAAUCUUUGAACGCACAUUGCGCCUUCUGGUAUUCCGGAAGGCAUGCCUGUUCGAGAGUCAUUAACAACCGUCUCGAUCCCUUUCUUUCAGAAAUUACAAAGAGGAAAAGGGUUUGGUUAUGGUGGAGGAGGGAAAGGGAGCGUUUAGCCUGUAAAAAAAGAGGCUGUGUUCCGCCUCCCCCCCAAAAUUGUACAGGCGGUCGUGUGCGCCCACGCAUCGAGGUGUUGUAAAAGCUGCCACGGCACUUUUCACCUGUGCAGUGCGAGAUUGGCCAGCCGGUUUAAAAACCCCUCCAAACAAUCAAAGGUUGACCUCGGAUCAGGUAGGGAUACCCGCUGAACUUAAGCAUAUCAAUAAGCGGAGGA
rnacentral:misc_RNA from 1 species